GUGAACGCUGGCGGCGUGCUUAAUACAUGCAAGUCGAACGAUGAAGUCCUAGCUUGCUAGGAUGGAUUAGUGGCGCACGGGUGAGUAAUAUAUAGUUAAUCUGCCUUGCACUGAGGAACAACAGUUGGAAACGAUUGCUAAUACCUCAUACUCCAACUUUACAUAAGUUAAGUUGGGAAAGUCUUUUCGGUGCAAGAUGAGACUAUAUCGUAUCAGCUAGUUGGUAAGGUAAUGGCUUACCAAGGCUAUGACGCGUAACUGGUCUGAGAGGAUGAUCAGUCACAUUGGAACUGAGACACGGUCCAAACUCCUACGGGAGGCAGCAGUAAGGAAUAUUGUGCAAUGGGGGAAACCCUGACGCAGCAACGCCGCGUGGAGGAGGACACUUUUCGGAGCGUAAACUCCUUUUGUUAGGGAAGAAUAAUGACGGUACCUAACGAAUAAGCACCGGCUAACUCCGUG
rnacentral:rRNA from 1 species